GAGGCCCGGACCAAACCAUUCCAGCUGCUGACACCUUUGAAUCCUUUUUGGAGCAGGGCAGAUGCUUCCACGACGGAUCAGAAGCCAUUUUGGAAGUGGGCAACACCAGACAAUUUUUGAAGGAGGAACUCUAAACCUUGGCGAAGUGGCUUCAAAUAUAGCAUUUGCAUAGAAGAGGAUAUUUCUAGUUCAUGAUUUCUCAACCUCGGCACAUUUUGAACUGGGCAGUUUUUGUGGGGGGGUUGUCUGGUCCUUUGCAGAAUGCUGAGCAAUUUCCCUGGUCUUUCUCCCUACUCAAUGCCAGGAGCACCCCCCAAAACAUGUCUCUCCAGAUAUUGUCAAAUGUCCCCUCGGGGAGAAAAAUCCUCCUCAGCUGAGCUCUGUUCUAUUUGAACUCCAAACCAGGUUAUGAUUCAAUGGCUACCUAUGGUGGUGAUUUAGUCCGUGUAUGAAUGUCAUUUUUAAGUUAGCAUUUUGGAUUUGAGGUUAUGGCUGAAAAGACUGAUAAAUAACACCCAUAUUUGACCACACUCUGCGAAUAUGAAGUUUAUCCUUUGAGUUUCAGUCACUAUGCCUCCUUGACUCAAUGGAGCCAAAUCAACUUACAGCUAGCUACUCGUGGGCUUGAACUUUCUGCUGCUGCUUCAGCUCAGCUGUCUACAACUAGACCACUUAGCUGGGUGAAGCUAUUUAACGCAUUGUGAAAACAUUCCCUUUGCCUUCUGAGUGUAUGCACAUCCAGCUCUUCAGAUGCCUGCAACGACAACUGUUCAAGAAUCCCAGCCUAAUCCAUUCUCCACAGAUGUGGAGCCCAGAAGAUUUGUGAGUUGCUAAACCAAAACAGGAUGCAGGAUCCCCAGCAUGGCACCCGGAGACUCUUAACUAUGGAAUGCAUGGGAAUUCUGUGAUUAUCCCUACAUCACACAUUUAUCACACUGGAGAGAUGGACUCAAGACCAGUGCUUCUGAGGCCUCUACCAGCACUUUCAUUCUUUCAGACUUUGGCAACUUAGUCUUCUUCUUUAUCAUCUCGUUUAUUGAACAUCUCCCUAUCUCAUUAAUCAGAAAACCCCACAAUGACAGGAACCACAUCUGUUUUGCUUACCAGAGUACCAAAAACCAAAAUAGUACCUGGCUCACAACAGGUAUCCAAUAUUUGCUGAAAGGAGAUCAUAGUUGUAUUUAUAUGUAAGACUGACAAUAAUCAUUGGUAUUAGGGUCACAUCUCUUUUCUCCUUCACACUGAUUCACUUCAUUUCAUUGUGUUUAUCUCAUACCAUUCUGUAAAUUACCCCAGGUUAGCUAUUCAUAUUCUCAAAUUCCUAACAUAUGAAGAAAAACAGUAAUUAGAAAAUAAGAGCAAUAUCCAUAAUUAUGGGAGCUACUAUUUAUUGAGGGAUUACUAUUGAGCAGGUAUAUCACAUUUUUUCCAUAAUUUAUUCCAUCUGUCCUUAGCCAGAAUGAAUGUUUAACUUUGCUGGUCACAUACAAGUUUUGUUGCAUAUUCUUCUUCCUCUUUUUCUUUCUUUCCCUCUCUCCUUCAUUUUCAUCUCCCAACCCUUUAAAAAUGUAAAAAUCAUUUUAAAAUAGCAAGCCAUACAAAAACAAGUCAUGACUAGAAGUAAACAACACAUUAUCUUCAUUUUGAAGAUGAGGUUAAAACUGAAGCCCAAAGAAGGAAUCAUCUAACAUA